rnacentral:rRNA from 1 species
GUAGGUGGCUUGUAAAGUGAAUAGUGAAACCUGGUGGCUCAACCAUACAGACUAUUAUUCAAACUCACAAGCUCGAGAGUAGCAGAGGUAACNUGGAAUUUCUUGUGUAGGAGUGAAAUCCGUAGAUAUAAGAAGGAACAUCAAUGGCGUAGGCAGGUUACUGGGCUAUUUCUGACACUGAGGCACGAAAGCGUGGGGAGCGAACCGGAUUAGAUACCCGGGUAGUCCACGCCGUAAACGAUGGAUACUAGCUGUUGGAGGUAUCGACCCCUUCAGUAGCGAAGCUAACGCGUUAAGUAUCCCGCCUGUGGAGUACGGUCGCAAGACUAAAACAUAAAGGAAUUGACGGGGACCCGCACAAGCGGUGGAUCGUGUUCUUUAAUUCGAUGAUAAACGAAGAACCUUACCAGGGUUUGACAUCCUUGGAAUUUCUGUGAAAGCAGAGAGUGCUUUAUUGAGCCAAGUGACAGGUGAUGCAUGGCCGUCGUCAGCUCGUGUCGUGAGAUGUUUGGUUAAGUCCAUCAACGAGCGCAACCCUUGUGAAUAGUUGUAUUUUUCUAUUCAGACUGCCCCGGUAACGGGGAGGAAGGAGGGGNAUGAUGUCAGGUCAGUAUUUCCCUUACACCCUGGGCUAGAAACACGAUACAAUGGUUAGUACAAUGCGCAGCGAAGCCCCGAGGUGGAGCAAAUCGCAUCAAAGC